rnacentral:SRP_RNA from 12 species
UACCCCGCCAGGACAGGAAGGAAG